rnacentral:lncRNA from 1 species
GUCUUUUGAUGUCACAUCCACCUCUUCUUUCUGCUGUUUUUCUUCUACAGCGAGGAUGUAGAUCAUAUUGUUGAACAGUUCGUGGCUAUCCCUGCAAUUAACUGGCUAUAUGUUGUGACAGUGUACAGUGGGAGUGAACACAUGCAGCCAAACAUCUCUCACAGUUGAUUGCACUGUUCCUUUCAAAUUUAAAAUCCUUUCAAACCCUGACUUUACACCAAAAUAUCUCCUUCUGGUUGCUUUGGCUGCAAUACUCAGCAUGUAUAUCAGGGUGAUGGGACUUAUUUCUCUGUAAGCAUUCUUAAGGUUUUAAAGGCUAAUGCAGACCUUUGUUAUGUCAAAAUUAUAUUCCUUAUGUAAUGCGAAAUUCAUUAAAUAAAUAAGAAUGGGGGACUAUGGGAUCUGUAGUAGGAAAUGCCACAAUGUAUUCCUAAGAUGACAAAAGUACACUGCAUGUGACCCCUCCUUUUGGUCAGUGCAAUUUGAAUGGGGGAUUGUGGGAUUCAUAGCACACCGAGAGAACCUUCACAUAGCAUAAUGUCAACUUUUGCCGAAGCACUGUAUGGACAAUAGUGAGCCCUCCCCCUUUCCUUCAACAACUCAGCUGCACCUAUGCAGAAAAUGGGCAGAAAAAUGAUGUGAUAUCCAGCAGCAUUUUUAUAGCAGUGCCCUGAGGAAAGAAGGCUGUUUGAGGAAGGAGGAAGGCUGAUGGUAAUGGUAGGCAAUGGUAGGCCUGGACAUGCCUGAAGAGCAGAGGAGAGUCGUUCUUUUGACUUGGUGCUCUAGCUUUUCAAGGUUGGAAUCUAGCCCCAAAAGGCACAGUAACGAUGAAGACCUUCCAGCCUUCUUUAAUGCAGACUCAGUUGCAAGAAAAUAAUCAUUCAUCUAGGAUUUGAUUCUGAAUGAAAGCACCAGCUUAGGUUGUAAGAGACCUGGCUGAGAGAAGGGAGAAGCCUGUCUUGCCCAGUAAUGUCCACCAGGCUAUCCGUAUGAAACCACUGGGAGUGAUCAUUCAGAACCUUAGAGUGAGGUGCCACAAAUAUGCUGAUGACACCCACUUCUACUGCUCCUUGUUACUCAAUGUCAAGGCAACAGUCAAUGUCUUUUGAUAUUCUCUGAGCUUGAUAAUAUACAAACCUUUCUUCAGACCCAUUUGCAUUUUACUAAUUUUUAAAUAUUUUAAGUAUUGUUACAUUUGUAUUCUUCCAUUUUGAUGAGCACAAAAAUGUCUCUCCCCAACCUUGUUAUUCUGACAACAAUCUCAUAAAGUGAGAUAUACAAAACGCUAGUGAGUGGGUCAAGAUCACUUAGUGACCUUCAUGAAUGUGUAGCGAUCUGAACCCAAGUCUCUUUCAUCCAAUUCUAAAAUUGCUGAAGAGUGGCCACAGAGUGAAAGGUCAACAAUAUUCUAUAUCUGCAGCUUUUAUCAGUUAAUGUCUGUACUGCAGCCCCAAAAUCCUCUAGCCACUGGCCCAUACUGGCUGGAAGAUUCUGGACCUUCCAGUCAAGAACAGUUAUCUAUUCAAGUCCUACCAACAGCCUACUGGAGGGCCUCCCAGAGAACAUUAGCUCCUUAAUCUUUAUUCAAUAUUUCCAUUUCCUGACACACCACUGGUUCUGUUACUCCCUCAUAUUCUUCUGCAAUCUCUAAGGCCUCUUGUCUAUCAACAAAUGUGAACAAAGAGACUCACUUGAUCCAUUGCAUCCUUUCUUCCUUUUGAAGUAAUAGUGGCUAAAAAAUCCUCCCUGUAACUCCUUCUCUUCAUCUCCCUUACUCUCAGUUCCAAGCUUUCUCUCCUUUCUCUCUCAACUCUUUAUUGCUCCUCUCCCAAUCUCCUUCUCCACUCUCUCGCCUCAGCUUCUCCCCAAUAAGAGGG